AUGAUGCAAGUCACCUUACUUACCAUCCUCAAGACAAUUGCCACUCAUCUCCUGUUCAGAAUAUCUCCCACUAAAGCACAGCCGGGUUCCUGUAUAUUCCUUGUAAUGGUUACUCAAAGCAAGCACGGCGACAACCUCCAUGUUCCUCAGCCCUCGGGGGGCUCCAGUGGACCUAGAUUGAUCAGGCUGAUACACUUUAGAACAUAUAUACUUCUGUUCGGCGUCCAUAUAUGCUGCCCGGAAAUGGGUGCUUCAGUUCGUUCUUAUACAUGCACAGUCUUGCAAAUGAUUUCUCUUAUACUUGAAGAAGAUUCUGGUAGUAUGAAUAUGGUUUGCAACUUUGCAUAUUCUGGUACCAUGAAGUGA
rnacentral:rRNA from 1 species